rnacentral:rRNA from 1 species
CCUCUGGGAUCCAUUGGGUUCCGGCAUUGGAAUGAGAACAAUAUAAAUCUUUUAACGAGGAUCUAGUGGAGGGCAAGUCUGGUGCCAGCAGCCGCGGUAAUUCCAGCUCCGCAAGUGUAUAUCUAUGUUGCUGCGGUUAAAAAGCUCGUAGUUGGAUCUGCGUGUUUAGCGUCCGGUUCGACUUUUGGUCGUUACUGGAACGCGACACAGAUGUGCUGGUUUGCCGUUGAUGCUCUUAAUCGGGUGUCAGUGGCGGCUAGCGAGUUUACUUUGAAAAAAUUAGAGUGCUCAAAACAGGCGUUUCGCCUGAAUAUUUCUGCAUGGAAUAAUAGAAUAGGACUUCGAUUCUAUUCUGUUGGUUUUCGGAAUGCGAAGUAAUGAUUAAGAGGGACAGACGGGGGCAUUCGUACUGCGACGUUAGAGGUGAAAUUCUUGGAUCGUCGCAAGACGUACUACUGCGAAGGCAUUUGCCAAGAAUGUUUUCAUUAAUCAAGAACGAAAGUUAUGGGUUCGAAGGCGAUCAGAUACCGCCCUAGUCAUAACCGUAAACGAUUCAAACUGGGCGCCCGACGGUGUUUUUAUUGACCCGUCGGGAACCCUCCCGGAAACGAAAGUGUUCGUGUUCCGGGGGAAAUAUGUCUGCAAAGAGGAAACUUAAAGGAAUUGACGGAAGGGCACCACCAGGGGUGGAGCCUGCGGCUUAAUUUGACCCAACACGGGGAAACUCACCCGGCCCGGACACCGUAAGGAUUGACAGAUUGAGAGCUCUUUCUUGAUUCGGUGGGUGGUGGUGCAUGGCCGUUCUUAGUUGGUGGAGUGAUUUGUCUGGUUUAUUCCGAUAACGAACGAGACUCUGGCCUGCUAACUAGUGUUCACAUCUUUACGUGUGCUUCGCUUCUUAGAGGGACAGGCGGCUUCCAGCCGCAUGAAGAAGAGCAAUAACAGGUCUGUGAUGCCCUUAGAUGUCCGGGGCUGCACGCGCGCUACACUGAAAGAAUCAGCGUGUACGUUACCUGGCUCGAAAGAGUCGGGUAAUCCGGUGAAAAUCUUUCGUGAUUGGGAUCGGGACUUGCAAUUAUUUCCCUUGAACGAGGAAUCCCUAGUAAGUGCGGGUCAUCAGCUCGCGCUGAUUACGUCCCUGCCCUUUGCACACACCGCCCGUCGCUGCCCGGAACUGAGCCGUUUCGAGAAAAAUGGGGACUGUCUACUUGAGGUCUUCACGGACUUUUUGUAAAUGGAAACCGCUUUAAUCGCAGCGGCUUGAACCGGGCAAAAGUCGUAACAAGGUUUCCGUAGGUGACCUGCGGAAG